CUAUUUGACCUCUUAAUGUUGUUUUCAGGGGGUGGAGACCUGCUAUUACUAUAUAGCAAAUUCUAGUGGGCAUUCAGGAUUUGCUGGGGAAAACCAACCCUGCCGAUCCAGCACAAACUGAUGGCUACCAGGUCUUCAUCCAGGAACCAUCUGAGUAUAGAAGAAGGUUGCAUGAGCAGCAGGCCAAGAAGUAUGCCCCCUCCUGUCUAGCAUUAUUGGUGGGUUUUCAUUGUUUUCCAAACAUGGCUAUAGUAGUUCUUUAAAUGCAUAUGGCAUAGUGCAGUUUCUUUUUCUCAUGUUCUGUCAUUCUCUCUGUUACAAUGCACAUCACCAGUAAGUUUACUCACUGAUCAAGAGUCCCAUGCACCCUCCGGCCCUUUUUGCAUCAUAGACAUCAAAUCCAUUUGGUUCCGAUUUAGAGUGGGUGAAAAUUUGGUGCCAACUUGUAAAUUGGUACAUCCAAUGCCCUUGUUCUA